UACGGGGGGGGCAAGCGUUGUUCGGAAUUACUGGGCGUAAAGGGCGCGUAGGCGGCCCGCUAAGUCAGACGUGAAAUCCCUCGGCUCAACCUGGGAACUGCGUCUGAUACUGGACGGCUUGAGUUUGGGAGAGGGAUGCAGAAUUCCAGGUGUAGCGGUGAAAUGCGUAGAUAUCUGGAGGAAUACCGGUGGCGAAGGCGGCAUCCUGGACCAACACUGACGCUGAGGCGCGAAAGCUAGGGGAGCAAACGGG
rnacentral:rRNA from 1 species